rnacentral:rRNA from 1 species
ACGGGUGAGUAACACGUGGGUAACCUGCCCUGUACUCUGGGAUAAGCCUUGGAAACGAGGUCUAAUACCGGAUACGACCUUUUGCCGCAUGAUCUGGGGUGGAAAGUUCCGGCGGUAUGGGAUGGACCCGCGGCCUAUCAGCUUGUUGGUGGGGUAAUGGCCUACCAAGGCGACGACGGGUAGCCGGCCUGAGAGGGUGACCGGCCACACUGGGACUGAGACACGGCCCAGACUCCUACGGGAGGCAGCAGUGGGGAAUAUUGCACAAUGGGCGAAAGCCUGAUGCAGCGACGCCGCGUGAGGGAUGACGGCCUUCGGGUUGUAAACCUCUUUCAGCAGGGACGAAGCGCAAGUGACGGUACCUGCAGAAGAAGCACCGGCUAACUACGUGCCAGCAGCCGCGGUAAUACGUAGGGUGCGAGCGUUGUCCGGAAUUAUUGGGCGUAAAGAGCUCGUAGGCGGUUUGUCGCGUCGGCCGUGAAAACUUGGGGCUUAACCCCGAGCCUGCGGUCGAUACGGGCAGACUUGAGUUCGGCAGGGGAGACUGGAAUUCCUGGUGUAGCGGUGAAAUGCGCAGA